rnacentral:tRNA from 1 species
GGUUGGGUGGCUCAGUGGUAAAGUGCUUGCCUUGCAUGCAUGAGGCCCUGGGUUCAAUUCCUCAGCACCA